rnacentral:rRNA from 1 species
AUUGAACGCUGGCGGCAGGCCUAACACAUGCAAGUCGAGCGAGCGGAGGCCGGGUGAGUAAUGUAGGGGGAUCUGCCCGAUAGAGGGGGAUAACUAGUGGACACGGUGGCUAAUACCGCAUACUAUCGGCGGAAACCAUAUGGGAUUAGCUAGUAGGUGGGGUAAAGGCUAACCUAGGCGACGAUCUCUAGCUGGGCUGCGAGGAUGAUCAGCCACACUGGGACUGAGACACGGCCCAGACUCCUACGGGAGGCAGCAGUGGGGAAUAUUGCACAAUGGGCGCAAGCCUGAUGCAGCCAUGCCGCGUGUAUGAAGAAGGCCUUAUGGUUGUAAAGUACUUUCAGCGGGGAGGCGUUACCCGCAGAAGAAGCACCGGCUAACUCCGUGCCAGCAGCCGCGGUAAUAC